rnacentral:rRNA from 1 species
GUCUCUCUGAAGGUAUAAAGAGUCUGACCUGCCCACUGAAAUAUUAAAGGGCCGCGGUAUUUCUGACCGUGCGAAGGUAGCAUAAUCAUUAGUCUUUUAAUUGAAGGCUUGUAUGAAUGGUUGGACGAGAGAAUAGCUGUCUCAAUUAAAAACUUGAAUUUAACUUUUAAGUGAAAAGGCUUAAAUAACUUGAAAAGACGAUAAGACCCUAUAAAUCUUAAUAUUAACUCUAAUUAGUUUUUUAAUUUAUAUUUCAAUCAAAAUACUAAUAUGUUAAUAUUCUGUUGGGGCGACAAAAAUAUAAAAUAAUUAACUGUUUUAAAAAAUGUACAAUAAUAUUUGACUUUUAAAGAUCCUCUGUCGAGAUUAAAAGAUCAAGUUACUUUAGGGAUAACAGCGUUAUUUUUUUUAAGAGUUCAUAUCGAAAAAAAAGUUUGCGACCUCGAUGUUGAAUUAAAAUUUCUUUGUGGUGCAGCAGCUACAUAAGAAAGUCUGUUCGACUUUUAAAAUUUU